rnacentral:rRNA from 1 species
UACGGAGGGUGCGAGCGUUGUCCGGAAUCACUGGGCGUAAAGGGCGCGUAGGCGGCUUUUCAAGCGUGCGGUGAAAGCUCGGGGCUUAACUCCGAGUCUGCCGUGCGAACUGGGAGGCUUGAGUCUGGUAGAGGUCGAUGGAAUUCCGGGUGUAGCGGUGGAAUGCGUAGAGAUCCGGAAGAACACCGGUGGCGAAGGCGGUCGACUGGGCCAGUACUGACGCUGAGGCGCGACAGCGUGGGGAGCAAACAGG